UACGUAGGGUGCGAGCGUUGUCCGGAAUUAUUGGGCGUAAAGGGCUCGUAGGCGGUUUGUCGCGUCGGGAGUGAAAACCCAGGGCUUAACCCUGGGCUGGCUUCCGAUACGGGCAGACUAGAGGUAUGCAGGGGAGAACGGAAUUCCUGGUGUAGCGGUGAAAUGCGCAGAUAUCAGCAGGAACACCCGUGGCUAAGGCGGCUCUCUAGUACGGUACUGACGCUGAGACGCGAAAGCGUGGGGAGCGAACAGG
rnacentral:rRNA from 1 species